CUACGGGAUGCACCAGUGGGGAAUAUUGCACAAUGGAGGAAACUCUGAUGCAGCAACGCCGCGUGGAGGAUGACACUUUUCGGAGCGUAAACUCCUUUUAUAUAGGAAGAAGAUGACGGUACUAUAUGAAUAAGCGCCGGCUAACUCCGUGCCAGCAGCCGCGGUAAUACGGAGGGCGCAAGCGUUACUCGGAAUCACUGGGCGUAAAGAGCGUGUAGGCGGAUUAAAAAGUCAGAAGUGAAAUCCUAUAGCUUAACUAUAGAACUGCUUCUGAAACUCUUAAUCUAGAAUAUGGGAGAGGUAGAUGGAAUUUCUGGUGUAGGGGUAAGAUCCGUAGAGAUCAGAAGGAAUACCGAUUGCGAAGGCGAUCUACUAGAACAUUAUUGACGCUGAGACGCGAAAGCGUGGGGAGCAAACAGGAUUAGAUACCCUUGUAGUC
rnacentral:rRNA from 1 species